GAUUAAUUCACUGAUUUGGUUAAAAUUCGCACAAUCUAACCAUUCCACGUCCAAACAAUUCUUACAUUGCCUCAUGCAUGAAUUUUGGGGAUAUAUCUCAUAUUAGAACCAUAAUAGUGAUUAAUACAAAUGCAAUCCAUAUGAUCAGAAUGGUCUUGGUUUAAAGACUCAGAUAAUUAGAAUUCUUGUCUCAUCAAAGGCCUCCAUGGUAAUCUUGCAAAAAUCUGCCAAAAUUAGCUUGUAAAAAAUGUAAUGUAAAAAUUUUAGAAGUUAAAAUUUUUUUUAUAAUUACAAAAUUAAAAUUUAGAAGUUGUCUAUGUCAUUUUCUGCUGCUAUAACAAUAUCACAGACUGGAUAAUUUAUAAACAAUAGAGGUUUGUCUCAAGUUUCUGAAAGCUGACAAGUCCAAGAUCAUGAAGCCAGCAUCUGAUGAGGGCUUCCAUGCUGUGUCAUAAUAUGGUGGAAGGGCAAGUGAGCAUGUCUGAAACAGAGAGAGGAGAAAAAGGUGCGAUAAAUUACCCUUUAUUAAAAACCCACUCUUGUGAUAACUAACCCACUCCUGUGAUAACAGCAUUAAUAUAUUCAUGAGGGCAGACCAUGCUCAUGAUAAUGACAUUAUCUCUGAAAAGUCUCACCUCUUAAUAGUUACCAUGGCAACUGAAUUUCAACAUGAGUUUUUGAAGGGACAUUCAAACCAUAACUUUGAAUAAAUAGUGCAAUAUGUAGCAAGAAAAGGCAUAUAAACAUAAAAUGUUAUAAUAAUCAGCUCUGAAGAUCCUAGAGAAUAAACGAGUUAUUCUGUUCCCCUGAGUUUGUUAAAAGAAAUGAACACUCUGGUUAAAAGGUAAAUAUGAAAUCUUAAAAGUAUUGUCCAUCUACAUAUUUCAUUUUCUAAAUCUUUAUUUUUCUAGAAUGCCUUAAAGAGUAUUCAGAACACCAACUAGAGAAAAAUAGAUGACUUUUGAUGUAGGUAUGUCCCAUGCCACAUAUAAUAUAAAUAACUUAAGGUUACCUGAAAUUCAAGUUUAACUGGGUGCCUUGUACUUUGUCAGGCAACCUCACUCUGGCUUCCCACCCAGGAGUCAGUGGGAACAUCCACAGGUGAUGCAGGAAGGACGGUCAGGACAGAGUGUUUCCCCAUCCUGCUCCCUGCUGGCGGGGUUGAUAUAGCUUGUUGCAGCCCUUUGCACAAGGUCACACCUCCUGUUAGUUCUCUAGGUCUUUGGGUUGGAGGAAGCUCUCCUUUCCCAAGUUUCUUCUAACCUAGGGGUGCUAAAUACUUCUCCAACAUCCACACUCAGUGUCCCUUUUUAAUUGUACCCGGGCACUGAAUUAACUGUAGUCAUUUCCCUACUUCUUUCUUACACUUGCUGCACUCUCUGAGUAAUGACUUUAUUAAAUGCUUCCCAAAUAGCUCAUAUUGGCAUGCUAUCUGCUUAUACCCCAAGACAAGAACUCCUAGAGAUCUGGUCUCUGUUGAAUGUUGACAUCCUUGGUUGCUCACACCUUGAGCAAUGUUGACUCUCAGGCUUUGUCUGUGAGCCCUGAUGGACUGCUCUGUCCUCUCCAGCAGCUCCAUCACUGUCUUCUCCUCCAUUUGUUACCUGCAGUUAGCCGAGUAUUUCCCAGGGUUUGAUCCUUUUCUCUUUUCUCUUCUGUCUUGGUUUUAGCUAUUGCCUUUAUGUAGAAUUGCGAUUUUGUUCUUUUAUUUACCGUGACACCCUUGAGAGAAAAUAUUCAUAUGUAUGACACAAUGCCUUGGUAUUCCUAGAGUGUGGUGAGGUCCAAAGAAACUCAUUAUCAAGUAAAACAAUGCUCAUGAUGGUUAAUUGUACAUAUCAAUUGGCUAAGCUUUAGUGCCCAGAUAGUUCAACAUUACUCUGGAUGUUUCUGUGAAGGGUGUUUGGGGGCUGGGGAUGUGGCUCAAGCGGUAGCGCACUUGCCUGGCAUGCGUGCGGCCUGGGUUCGAUACUCAGCACCAUAUAAAAACAAAGAUGUUGUGUCUGCCAAACACUAAAAAAUAAAUAUUAAAAUAAUCUCUCUCUCUCUCUCUCUCUCUCUCUCUCUCUCUCUCUCUCUCUCUCUCUCUCCCCCUCUCUCUCUUUACAAAAAAAACCCCAAAACAAAAUAGAGGGUGUUUUGGGAUGAGAUGUAUUUUUAAAUUGGUAGAUUUUGAGUAAAGCUGAGUGGCCUUCAUAAAGUGGGUGAGUGGGCCUCAACCAGUCAGCUGAAGGUCUGACUUGGACAAAAGACUGACCUCUCUCAAGCAAGAGAGACAGAUGGUCAGAUGCCACAGAUGGCCUUUGGACUUGAACUGAAACAUUAACUUACUAUAACCUGGCCCUGCCGAUUUUGGAGUUACCAACCUCUCAUGAGCCAAUUCUUUAAUCUUUACCCCUCUCAAAUUUUACAGAUGUCUAACAUAGAUUAGAUUGACUGCAGAUUAUAAAUUAUUUAAUCUGGGCUGUGCAUGGUAGCACACACCUAUUGCUUUAGUCAGCUUUUUUGCUGAUAUGACUAAAGAAUCUGACCAGCACAACUGUAGGGGAGGAAAAGUUUAUUUGAGGGGUCAUGGUUUCUGAGGUCUUAGCCUGGAGAAGGCCGGCUCCAUUCCUUGGGGCUUGAGGUAAGGUAGAACAUCAAGGCAGAAGAGUGUAGCAGAGGGAAGCAGCUCCCAUCACAGUGAUCAUGAAUCAGAGAGAGAGAGACUCCAGCUCCAGAUAACAAAAUGCAUACUCCAUAGCCACACCACCAAUUAACCACUUCCUCCAGCUAUAACUCACCAGCUUCUACUUACCACUCAGUUAAUCCCAUCAGGGAUUAAUUCAUUGAUUGGGUUAAGACUCUCACAAAAUCAUUUCUCCUCCAAACCUUCCUGCAUUGUCUCACAGGUGAGGUUUGGGGGACACUUCAUAUCCAAACCAUAACACCUAUAAUCCCAGUUUCUCUAGAGGCUGAGCAAGGAGGAUCACAAGUUUGAGGCUAUCCUCAGCAACUUAGUAAGGCCCUGAGCAACUUAGUGAAACCAUGUCUCAAAUAAAAUAUAAAAAGGGUUGUGGCUGUGGCUCAGAGGUUAAGCGCCCUGGGUUCAAUCUUUGGCACCCCCAAAAUAAAUAAAUAAAAAUAAAAUAAAAUUAUUUAGGCUGGUCUGUAUUUAGCUGCAUUGCUUCUCUUGCAUCCAGGAACUCAUUUCAGAAUGCAUGUUAGGGAGCAUAACGUCUCUGUAAGUGUGCACUAGUUUGUUUCCCACAAGAAACAAAAUUCUUACGCUGAUUUAAACAAUAAGUACAUUUAUGAUCUUAUAUAACAAAAAGUCCAGAGCUAGGACACACCCCCUGUGCACCAUGUCUAGCUUCCACAGUUCUCUUGCCUCUACCCUCAGACUGGCUCCCUGGAAAUUGAAGCUAUUCCAGACCUUGUGACAAGGCAUGAAAAUGUUCACAGGAAUAAAUAUGAUGAUGCUCUUUUUUCUUGAAAUUUGUUGCUCAGAAUUUGGGAAACUUUCCCCAGAAACCUCCUCCUUGCAAUCUUAGUGGCCACCAUUAGGUUCCUAAAGCAAUCCUGGGCAGUCCUGGGCAGGGAGAAUACCAUGUUUAGCUCAAACAAACCGGAAUCUCCUCUGGAACUGCAAAUGAGUUUGGCUUCUGCUGGGUGCAGUUGGGUAGACAUGUGAGGAAAAGCAGGAUCCAGUAGAGAGGGAAUAAAGGGGAAGCAGGUAUUGCCUAGGGAGCCAGCCACGCCUUCAUAUAAGCAGAUGCUGCCUUGGUUCUCUGCCAAAUAAAAUAUCAAUUUCUUAAAAAAAAAAAACAAACCAAGCCACACUGAAUAUAAUUUUUUUGAGGAUUUACUUAAGUUCUGGGGCAUGAGGAUCAGCAGCUAUAUCACACAACCAUUUAUUGAAAUCCCUCAUGAGAUGUCUCUUCUGUUUCACUUCUUCUUGUGCCUGCCUCUUGUGUCCUUCCACCCACCCAAACCCUCACUGUCAAACACAGCUCUCUCCCCGCUUUUCUGUUUUAGGAGUGAACUCACAUCCUUUUUCUUGCUGCAUGUGGUGAAGCUCCAUCAAUACUUAUUUGAGAACCUAGAAGCUCAUCCUCUGCCAGCUUCUUCUUUCACUGACCAGUUGUUGAGAAAAGAAAUUUUCUUCUUCAUAUCAUUGCAUAAAAUCUAUAACACCUUUUAUUCUUUUAAAGAAACUCUUGUUCAAGGAUGUUAUUUUAAAUAAUAUCAGUAGAAGGCUACCUGUAACCCAUAUUGUUCUUGGUCUUAAGGGGCUGGCAGUGUGUAGUAAAGGCUUUCAUAUCAGUAAUUAUCAAUAGUCCUAGUUUUGACUUUUUUUCUAACUGGAGUCUUGCAUAGACUGUUCAUCUUCACCAGGAAAAGAAACUAUUGUUCAAAAUUGAGGUAAUCUCCUAUUCCAAAUUAGUAUCCACUGUUUCUUAUUGCUGUUAGCAACAGCCCUGUUCUUCUACCUGACACUUUAAAUUUCUUUCUCCUUUGUUCUUUACAUUAAUCUACCACUUUGCUAAAUUUGAUCUGGGAGCGUUAAUUGGUAUUUCUGGAAGUAAAGUAGUUGUGGUCAAACACUGUUGGGGAAUUUUUUAAUUCUAGGGCACUUUCACACACACAUAACCAUGCACAUUCAAAUAUUAAAGACCCCAAGAAAUUUUGUAAAACAAAAGGCAGUUAAACUUCACUUAAUCCAGCAUUUUCCAGAAUUCUUUCAUCCCAGAAUCAUUUUUGUAGGGAAUACCUAUUCAUAUGCACUAGAAUAAUCAUACUUAAUGGAAAACAGUAGGAAAAACAUCGAGCUGAGCAAUUUCUAAAUAAGGGUGCAGGACAAAAUUAAGAUUUACUGCAUGUCUUGUAAGUACUAUAUAUGUUGGUGAAAUAGUUUUUAAAAUCUCAUUUCUACCAUUAAGAAAAAAAAAACUCCCUACAUACAUCUUUUAUUAAAUUCAUUUAUACUGAAGUUCAACUUGUGAUGAUGAAAUAAAGUAUGGAUUUACCUUAAAUAGGCACAUUUUAUCAUAUUUUCUCCCUUAUAUUUCUAAGGAAAGAAUAAAAGCUAACCCCUCUAUUUUAAAUUCUCAAAAUGACUUGUACCACAUUUUACUUGAAAGUUUUCAUUAAAUACUAAUGGUCUGUGGUUUCAGCUAACAUUUUAAUAUGUGUAGAAUUGAGUAUGUGUAGGUUAUAAUUGUUUUAUUCUACAUGACAACAGCAAUCUAAGGACUUAAUAAGAGUCUUGAGACACUCAUAGGAGCUCAGGGUCUGGCACAGGACUGCCUCUUCAGACCAACAGACAGCCCAGAUCUGCCCACAUUGACAUACAUGGGACCCAGGCCCAGGGUAGGUCUAAGUCUGCCACCCUCCCACCUCUCACCCCCCACACACACCUUGGAGCCAAAGCCUAACCUACUUCCAUCUUGGGACACUGCAGUCAUCACCAUAGCCUUCCCCACACAGUAGCCCCUACUUUUUGACAACAGACAGGGCCUAGAAGCAACUGCAUCUCAGGGCAGGCAUCCCAAAGACAAUGUAAGGCACACUCUUCUAGCCCCAUCUCUGUAAGACGAUGCAUCCAUCUUGGGACACCCCCAUUAUUAUCUCGAGUUACCUUGGCUAUUGCCACCACCACCUUUAGUUGCAGUAGCAUACAUUGAGGGACACCAGCAGGGUCUGGAAGCCCAACAUCAAAGUGAGGUACAGACAAUCAGCACGGGUACAACAAGAAUAUAGGGUAGAAACUGAAAUAUCUCAGAUUUACACUGCAAGAAAGGAAGACACAUAGACAACAUGAAAAAAAAAAGGGGGGGAGGUGCCCCAAACAAACCAGGAUACUACAAUAACAGAACCCAUGAACAGCAAAGUUGAUGAAAUGUCAGAGAAGGAAUUCAGAAGGUUAUAAUUAAAAUGAUCUGUGAAUUAAAGAAUGACCUAAAUGAGCAAAUAAGGCAAAAAUUGAUCACUCCACAAGGAGAUAAGAGAGCAACUACAGGUAACAAAAGGUUACUUCAAGAAAGAAAUACAACCCUUUCUCUCCCUUUCCCUAUACAAAAGAACAUACAAGAGGAAAUGAGGGGAAAGGGAAAAAUAAU
rnacentral:lncRNA from 1 species